UACGAAGGGGGCUAGCGUUGCUCGGAAUGACUGGGCGUAAAGCGUGCGCAGGCGGUUUUGCAAGCCGGAUGUGAAAUCCCCGGGCUUAACCUGGGAAUGGCAUUUGGGACUGCAAGGCUGGAGUGCGGCAGAGGAGACUGGAAUUCCCGGUGUAGCAGUGAAAUGCGUAGAUAUCGGGAGGAAUACCGAUGGCGAAGGCAGGUCUCUGGGCUGACACUGACGCUCAUGCACGAAAGCGUGGGGAGCAAACAGG
rnacentral:rRNA from 1 species